GGGGGCGUAGCUCAGGGGUAGAGCAACGGCCUUUUAAGCCGCAGGUCGGAGGUUCAAAUCCUCCCGCCCUCA
rnacentral:tRNA from 1 species